GGUAGGAUGGCUGAGUCUAAGCGGUGGAUUGUAGCUCCAUGCACAGGGGUUUAAGUCCCCUUCCUAUCA
rnacentral:tRNA from 1 species